GACGAACGCUGGCGGCGUGCUUAACACAUGCAAGUCGAACGAUGACGACCGAGCUUGCUCGGUCUGAUUAGUGGCGAACGGGUGAGUAACACGUGAGCAACCUGCCCUUCACUCUGGGAUAACCUCGGGAAAUCGGGGCUAAUACCGGAUAUGAGCUCCUGUCACAUGGCGGGUGUUGGAAAGUUUUUCGGUGAAGGAUGGGCUCGCGGCCUAUCAGUUUGUUGGUGAGGUAGUGGCUCACCAAGGCGAUGACGGGUAGCCGGCCUGAGAGGGCGACCGGCCACACUGGGACUGAGACACGGCCCAGACUCCUACGGGAGGCAGCAGUGGGGAAUAUUGCACAAUGGGCGAAAGCCUGAUGCAGCGACGCCGCGUGAGGGAUGACGGCCUUCGGGUUGUAAACCUCUUUCAGCAGGGAAGAAGCGAAAGUGACGGUACCUGCAGAAGAAGCGCCGGCUAACUACGUG
rnacentral:rRNA from 1 species